UACGUAGGGUGCAAGCGUUGUCCGGAAUUAUUGGGCGUAAAGAGCUCGUAGGCGGUUUGUCGCGUCUGCUGUGAAAACCCGAGGCUCAACCUCGGGCCUGCAGUGGGUACGGGCAGACUAGAGUGCGGUAGGGGAGAUUGGAAUUCCUGGUGUAGCGGUGGAAUGCGCAGAUAUCAGGAGGAACACCAAUGGCGAAGGCAGAUCUCUGGGCCGUAACUGACGCUGAGGAGCGAAAGCAUGGGGAGCGAACAGGA
rnacentral:rRNA from 1 species